GGGCCGGCUGGAGGAAGGUAUCUGGGAUUUAUUUAUUUUCUAUGAUUGAAACUCUGUAGCCUUGAGUGGAGGCCA